rnacentral:rRNA from 1 species
UACGGGGGGUGCAAGCGUUGUUCGGAAUUACUGGGCGUAAAGCGCACGUAGGCGGAUUCGUAAGUCAAUUGUGAAAGCCCUGGGCUUAACCUAGGAAUUGCAGUUGAAACUGCGAACCUUGAAUACUUGAGAGGAUGACGGAAUUCCUGGUGUAGAAGUGAAAUUCGUAGAUAUCAGGAGGAACACCCGAGGCGAAGGCGGUUAUCUGGCAAGCUAUUGACGCUGAGGUGCGAAAGCGUGGGGAGCAAACAGG